rnacentral:rRNA from 1 species
GUUAUAUGGUCAAGUGAAGAAGCGCAUACGGUGGAUGCCUUGGCAGUCAGAGGCGAUGAAAGACGUGGUAGCCUGCGAUAAGCUUCGGGGAGUCGGCAAACAGACUUUGAUCCGGAGAUCUCUGAAUGGGGGAACCCA